rnacentral:rRNA from 1 species
UGCGUAGGUGGCGGUGCAAGUCAGAUGUGAAAGGCCGGGGCUCAACCCCGGAGCUGCAUUUGAAACUGCAUAGCUAGAGUACAGGAGAGGCAGGCGGAAUUCCUAGUGUAGCGGUGAAAUGCGUAGAUAUUAGGAGGAACACCAGUGGCGAAGGCGGCCUGCUGGACUGUUACUGACACUGAGGCACGAAAGCGUGGGGAGCAAACA